rnacentral:tRNA from 1 species
UCCUGGUUAGCUCAGUUGGUAGAGCGCUUUACUGGAAAUUGAGAGGUCGCUUGUUGGAUGCCAGCAACAGGUA